rnacentral:rRNA from 1 species
UACGAGGGGGGCAAGCGUUGUUCGGAAUUAUUGGGCGUAAAGGGCGCGUAGGCGGUUUGACAAGUCUGAUGUGAAAUCUAUGGGCUCAACCCAUAGCCUGCAUUAGAAACUGUCGGGCUUGAGUAUGGGAGAGGUGAGUGGAAUUUCCGGUGUAGCGGUGAAAUGCGUAGAUAUCGGAAGGAACACCGUGUGGCGAAAGCGGACUCACUGGACCAUACUGACGCUGAGGC